CGUGAGCGGCGGACGGGGGAGUAACGCGUGGGUAACCGUGCCUCAUACAGGGGGGUAACAGUUGGAAACGGCUGCUAAUACCGCAUAAGCGCACAGUACCGCAUGGUACGGUGUGAAAAACUCCGGUGGUAUGAGAUGGACCCGCGUCUGAUUAGGUAGUUGGUGGGGUAACGGCCUACCAAGCCGACGAUCAGUAGCCGACCUGAGAGGGUGACCGGCCACAUUGGGACUGAGACACGGCCCAA
rnacentral:rRNA from 1 species